GUACUAGCUGUCAGCUGCUGGAGACCUUGCUUUCUGUUUCACUGGGAAACAGAAGCAAUCAGAAGGAAACUUCCUCAGACUCCACCUCUCCCUUCACUCCCGCCUGUAUCCGUGCCUGUUACCUGGACGCCUUGUGGAACUUGAAUUCUACGCCCUCCACUGGGACACUGCCCUUCAUCCUCUCUCACCUCCUCCAGGACAACAAAUGUUGUAGUCCUCAUCAUCAGCAGAGACUUUGUGCCAUCCUCUGCUAUAUUAUCCUGAAGAGUGCCUGGCUCAUGCUGCAGUGUUCUGAAUAGCAGUCCAGCUAUGAGGGGAGGUGCCCGUGGCAGGCCUCAGCUGACCCUGGAGAGGCCAUUAAGACCUGGCUGUCGCCUCCACAGCUGCUCGGAGGCAGGUGUUCAAUAAAUGACAGACGCUACCAUCACAGAUUACCAAUGUUACAAAACUGUAAACAGAGAAAGGUGGCUUUGUAAGAAGAAAAGAGAUCAUUCUUUUUCCACCAUGUGAGGACCCAGCAAGAGGGUGGCUGUCUGCAAACCCAGGGAGAGAGCCCUCACCAGGAAUCUGCUGGCACCUUAAUCUUGGACUUCCCAGCCUCCACAACUGUGAGGAAUAAAUGUAUGUUGUUUAAGCCA
rnacentral:lncRNA from 1 species